rnacentral:lncRNA from 1 species
GUUGACCUCGAUUGGUUUAUUUUAGUUGUACACUUUGUCCCUCACAUACAGUUAAAGAGUCCUUUACCGUUAGAUUUCUACAAAAAUAUCCAUUUUUCAAAAGCAGAAAAAGAGGGAAAGAUAUAUUUUAAUAUAUAAAAGGAAAAAAGCUAAAUCUGACAUUUCAUUAUAUUCUUAAAAACAUUCCAGUCUAUUUACACGUGUGUAAAAAACCAAAGAAAAUCUCCAGGUCUCUUGGUCUAGUGAGAACGUGCGCCUUGCAGGGGUUUCCUUUGUUCUCCUGAUGCUAAAAUCUUUUCAUUACUUGUCAUAUUCUUGUAUUAUUGCCUCAAAAGACAGCAUAAAUAAUUUUUAAAAGGUUUGUUCCAAACCAAUGGGAGCUUGAGGGAAGAGCAAAAAAGAAAACAAAGAAAAGAAUCAGCAUUUAAAUUCAUAGCAAAAUAUUAAGCUGCAGAUACGAGGUGGUGGAAAAAGGAGAGCAAAAGCUAUGAGCAUUUCGAACAUGCGCUGUUGACUGGUAGAACCCAUCAUAGAGCCUUCUUGGAACUGCACCAACUACCACUUUUUGCAGCCAAAUUUGGGGUCUGUUCUUAGUUAAUUUAGUAAUCGUGUUCAGGGACUGAACGUUUUUGCUGUCAUCGUUACACAGUACAUCUUUAUUGCAGUAGAACUCCUUACUGCCCAGUGCCAAACAGUAAAUACAGGCAGGAAUUUUCCACCACCUUGAUGAUGGACAAAGCAUCCUCCAAAGGACAGCAUCAUUUUAGAUAAUGCAGAAAGGUCAGUGAUGAGGAAUUGGGAAGGAAUCACAGCACAGUUCUGGUUGCUGUUUCACACACAGGAGGAAUGAAAUCUAUUGGCAAAACAAACUGCCACAGGUAAAAAAUAAGCAACUUCAGCCUACUGGAAACGCUCAGAACCAGAUUCCCAGGUAAAUAAACUGAAGUCUGAUGUGGUGCUACUAAACUAAUUGAGUUACUCCAGGUUGCCACUGGUUUAAAAUAAGGUUAAAAUUCCUUAAUAAUAAGCAAUGUAUGGCUAAAUACUUACUCGUAUUGUAAAUUCUCUUUUCUAAGGCAUUCAGUGACACCUGUAAGACCCUGCUUGACUCCCAUGCUCGUAUGCGCUUUGCCAAAUCACUAAUACAGGACUUGUAUCAAAUAUUAAAAUAGUUAAUAUGUAAAAGGCAAUAAAGAGUUACGUAUAAUGCUUUAAAACACACCAUUUAGAAUAACCAGGGGAAGAACCUUUUUUAUGCAGGGUCUGGAGUAACUUUACACAUACCAAGCUUGAAGGGCUUCUCUCCUCUGCAGCAUAAUAUAAAACCAUAAAAAAGAUGAGGAAACACCCAAAGUAGGUGUAUCCCUGGUAGAUCUAAGGUAGACACAGACCCAGAAGGUGCAGCUUACUGACCAGGGCGUAUGGAUGCCCUGCAUACAAACGCUGCUCCCUCAUUGUGGAAGAACACUGCUCUCAGCAUGUGGAAACAUGAAAUUCCUGCAUUACUCCAUCACCAAAGAUGGGGAAUGGCGGGGGAGAGGGGGAGAUACCAGCUGGAACAGUAAGACAGGGGAUGACAUUCCUAAACAUAAACGCACACCAAGUUCUGUACCACUUUAAUGGCAACGUUUUUUACCUUUCCGGAGCAGUGAAGAAGCCCCUCAAGCGCACCCGAACUCCUAUUUACAAACUGGAUAGGAAAAGAUUGUGUAUACACUCAUUAACAAAUCAUCUCUCCUCGGCUGAAAAGUUCAUUUGUCAAGAAAACUAUUGAAAACAAAAAUUGUGUACAAAAAUAUAAAUAUCUUUACAGUCUGUAGGCCCUUCCCAUCCAGCAGCUGAACAGUGAAGAGCAUCUAUAGGUUAUUGAGUAAGCAGUGGCAGAGAAGAAUAAAAAAUACAUCUUGUGAUUCAAUACUGCCCUAUUUCCCUGGUAAUGAGCAUUUUUUGUUGACUUUUAUUUUUUGCUAUACACAGCUUGUGCAAAUGCAGUGAGAAACCUCUGAGUACCUUUCCUGAAUUUAUAAAGGAAUGGAAGGUUUGGAAAGAUAUACACAUAUUUUCAUAUAUACAUUCACAUAUACACCUCGCUCAUUUAUGCUGGGCUGCUACAGCCCCAAAAGCGUCCUGUAUUUUCAUGAAGCAACAGUUCCUAUGAUCAUUCCUAGCCACCUUUUGAAGAAGAGAAGGAAAGAAAACAAGAACUGGGAAAGCACUCAAGCUACUUCAGCAGUGCCUUUAAGGAUGUAGUAACAGGGUGCCAAAGUUUCUUUCUACUCUCUAAUUUUAACUUCCAGAUGCCCUAAGCAUCCAAGGAGGGAGUAUUUAUCUAGGGGCAGGAGGGUUUGGGGUUUUUUAGUAGCUUUAUUAAGAUUCCUACUUGUAAUUACACUGGGAAAUAUCCUUUUCUUCCCCAUGUAGUGAGAGUUGCAGAUGUUUAUCAAAAUCUUCUGUGCAUAAGCUCCUAAAAAGAGUCUCUGCCAGAGAACUAGCUAGCACCAUAGAGCAAAAACUUUACACUUCAACCCUCUGCAGAGUCUCAGACUUGCCUUCCGCUGCUCCAGGUAACAAGUUUGAGAGUGACCGCAAUCUCAUUUCUGCACAUUCAUCAUAUUCUGCAAACACUUACACCAGCAAAUGUGAACAAUCCCAUUUCUGCAUAGAUCAUUUGCCUGGUACAAAAACAAGUAAUCCAGAUUUUUUCCCCAACAGGACAGCUACCUCCCUACUUGGGGGGGGGGGUGUGGAAGAAAUCUUUUACUCAGUCCUUUGACAAACUAUUCUGUGAAGGACCCAAUUCUGGAAGGAUACCAUGUGCCCAGCAAUGGUUAUAGAUCAUCUUUUGCUUUGUGUGAAGGGGAAGGAGAACACGCAGAAUACAACAGUGAGGUAAAAAUAUGCCAACAUGCUUUAAGUUUCAUAGCACUUAUUUCUCAGUUUGGGGCCUGCCCUCAGUUGAGCAGAGUGCUGAUGCCAGACAGAAAA